rnacentral:rRNA from 1 species
UGAGGCGUGGCUUCCGGAGCUAACGCGUUAAGUCGACCGCCUGGGGAGUACGGCCGCAAGGUUAAAACUCAAAUGAAUUGACGGGGGCCCGCACAAGCGGUGGAGCAUGUGGUUUAAUUCGAUGCAACGCGAAGAACCUUACCUGCUCUUGACAUCCAGAGAACUUUCCAGAGAUGCUUUGGUGCCUUCGGGAACUCUGAGACAGGUGCUGCAUGGCUGUCGUCAGCUCGUGUUGUGAAAUGUUGGGUUAAGUCCCGCUACGAGCGCACCCCUUAUCCUUUGUUUCCACCGGGG